AAUGUGGAUAGACAGGUUUUAACUGACUAUCUUCUAUGCAUUUUAACUGAUACUACCACUGCAUCUCUCUGGAGGUGAAAAUUGUCAAGCUGAUCAGCAAUGAAAUACUGCAGAUGAAGCUUUAAGAAGGAUGUUACCGAUAUGCAACAAAAACCACUAUAACCAAUAAAAGCCAAGAGAUUAGGAUUGCGGGGGAAAACCUGUAAAAUACUUUAAAAUACUGUAUGUCUGCGGUCGCAAAGCAUGAAGAUACAGUGGUGUCCAGUUGUUUUCCUGACCACUAAAUUCAGCCUUGUGAGAGCCAGGGCCUGACCACUACCUGUUUUUAUUUGUGGACUGUGGAGGUUAAUCCAUGGCGAAGAGAUGUGGAAAGAACAGGAGAAGUGAUGGAUGAACAGAAGGAGUACUGAUGAGGAAUAGAUAUCUUCAUGCAGUCUCACAUUAUGAGGGAAAAGAGGGAUCUCUGAUCAGAAGCAAACAGGAACAUCUUUGAGACUACAAAGAGUUCUGUCAUGAAACUCAAGAUGGCGCAGUCCGAUAG
ensembl:lncRNA